rnacentral:rRNA from 1 species
CAGCCGCCGCGGUAAUACGUAGGGUGCGAGCGUUAAUCGGAAUUACUGGGCGUAGAGCGUGCGCAGGCGGUUCGUUAAGACAGAUGUGAAAUCCCCGGGCUUAACCUGGGAACUGCAUUUGUGACUGGCAAGCUAGAGUAUGGCAGAGGGGGGUGGAAUUCCGCGUGUAGCAGUGAAAUGCGUAGAUAUGCGGAGGAACACCGAUGGCGAAGGCAGCCCCCUGGGCCAAUACUGACGCUCAUGCACGAAAGCGUGGGGAGCAAACAGGAUUAGAUACCCCCGUAGUCCCUGUCUCUUAUAC